UAUUCUUGUACAGAUGACUUAGCCGAAAGAGAGAGAAGAUGAAUGGCUUCCAAAGAUUGUGAUCUCACAAUAGGCAGAGGCUGGUGAUUAACAAAGGACAACAAGUUUCAGAGCCACGCCUGUGCCCCUACCCCACAUAGACCUCACCAUGAGCCCCUACCCCACAGAGACCUCACCACGAAGAGGCAAAGGAGUGGGAUUUCCUUAGAAGGAUCUUGUAUGUUUGUUUCAGUUACACUGUGGAAGUCCUUGACAGAUGAGGAGAAUAUUGAAGCCGCCUAAGAAGGUCACAGCUGGAAGGCUUGAGCUGCUUUGCUGAGGCGUAGUGGGCCCUGCUGAACAAGGAGAAAGCAGCUGGAUGAAUUUCAGUGGAAGCCGACUUGAACUUCCGCUACCAGCCAGUGGCCCCAGCUCACAUUGUGUCUGGAACCGGUGAGUUCUUGGUCUCGCUGACUUCAAGAAUGAAGCUACAGACCCUCUCGGAGACGCUGCACCCAACAAGAGCAGCCUUUUCAAGUGCACAUGGAGCAUUCCCCAAGAUAUGUCAUAGUGUGGGCCAUUACAUAUCUCAUGAAAUUUUAAAGAGUUGAUGUUAGGUUGUUUAAUUUGAGUAAAUAAGAAAGCUUCUGC
rnacentral:lncRNA from 1 species